UACGUAGGGUGCGAGCGUUGUCCGGAAUUACUGGGCGUAAAGAGCUCGUAGGUGGUUUGUCGCGUUGUUCGUGAAAACUCGGGGCUCAACCCCGAGCCUGCAGUGGAUACGGGCGGACUAGAGUGCGGUAGGGGAGACUGGAAUUCCUGGUGUAGCGGUGAAAUGCGCAGAUAUCAGGAGGAACACCGGUGGCGAAGGCGGGUCUCUGGGCCGAUACUGACGCUGAGGAGCGAAAGCGUGGGGAGCGAACAGG
rnacentral:rRNA from 1 species